AACGAAGAGGACACUGGGGCAUUUAACUGCCAGUGCCCAGCAGUCGUAGUUGAGUCCUGCUGAUGAAACAGAAAACCUGCAACCUGCCCUGUUUGCAGGCAGAACAGACAGUUAAAUAUAUCAGCCAAGGAACAGCAGGGGCUGGUAGCUGAAGUUUGGACAGUCGAGCCCGUAAAUGAUUUAUUCCACUCUGUUAAGCUUCCUGAAUCACAGAGAAGUUGUCAGAAAGAUUUUAGCCUCCGCUAUAGGAAGUCCUGCCCACCUUCUCCAGAUCUCUGUUCUCAUAGUCCAUCCUCUGGUUCCAGGUGGAAGAAUUCUAAAAUCACACAAGAAAAUGUAAGAUAUCUUCCUCGAAUAUCAACAGAGAAGAACAGCAGCCACGUGGAUAAGGCAGAGUUUGGGAAAUCCUGGAUUCCCUUAUCAUAAAGCAUCUUACAGUAACCUCAGAAAUGCAGAAGUUACUUGUAAUGGUGCUGUAGACACUGUACGAGAAAGUUUCACCUUUAUGAUCUAAUUUAAUUCUCACAAAAACCCUGUUAGGUAGGGUGUUAUUAUUUAAAUUUAAAUCAGAGGAAAAUGUAACAGGAAUUCUGCAACUUACAGUCAAAGAGAUAAUAAACAGGAGCAUCUGUGGUUUGAA
rnacentral:lncRNA from 1 species